rnacentral:rRNA from 1 species
UAGGGAAUAUUGCAUAAUGGGCGAAAGCCUGAUGCAGCAACGCCGCGUGUGCGAUGAAGGCCUUCGGGUCGUAAAGCACUUUUAGAGAGGAUGAGGAAGGACAGUACUCUCUGAAUAAGCCUCGGCUAACUACGUGCCAGCAGCCGCGGUAAAACGUAGGAGGCGAGCGUUAUCCGGAUUUACUGGGCGUAAAGCGCGUGCAGGCGGUAAGGAAAGUUGGAUGUGAAAGCUCCUGGCUUAACUGGGAGAGGUCGUUCAAAACUACCUAACUAGAGUGUGGGAGAGGGAGGCGGAAUUCCGGGUGUAGUGGUGAAAUGCGUAGAUAUCCGGAGGAACACCAGUGGCGAAAGCGGCCUCCUGGUCCAAGACUGACGCUCAGACGCGAAAGCUAGGGUAGCAAACGGG